ACGCGUGGAACCUUACCAGGUCUUGACAUCCUCUGACACUCCUAGAGAUAGGACGUUCCCCUUCGGGGGACAGAGUGACAGGUGGUGCAUGGUUGUCGUCAGCUCGUGUCGUGAGAUGUUGGGUUAAGUCCCGCAACGAGCGCAACCCUUGUCCUUAGUUGCCAGCAUUAAGUUGGGCACUCUAAGGAGACUGCCGAUGACAAAUCGGAGGAAGGUGGGGAUGACGUCAAAUCAUCAUGCCCCUUAUGACCUGGGCUACACACGUGCUACAAUGGACGGUACAAGCGGUUGCCAACCCGCGAGGGGGAGCUAAUCCGAUAAAACCGUUCUCAGUUCGGAUUGUAGGCUGCAACUCGCCUACAUGAAGCCGGAAUCGCUAGUAAUCGCGGAUCAGCAUGCCGCGGUGAAUACGUUCCCGGGCCUUGCACACACCGCCCGU
rnacentral:rRNA from 1 species